rnacentral:lncRNA from 1 species
GAACACAAGAAUUAUAGGGCUCAAUUGUAUUCCAAUAUAGCUGAAUAUGAUUACAUUACAAGUUCUAUCAUUCAGAUCUCUCCCAAGGAAAUGACUUCUCUAACAAUCAAAACCUACCUCCAACUAACUCCUCUCUUCCGUAUAUAAAAGACACACAAUGACAAAAUUGCCCUCAAAUCAGUUGAAAGUUACUCAUUACUAACAUGAGAUUUUCGAACAUAGUAAACUCUAAGUCUUAUUCGUUCUUGUGUAAGUGAGCCUUAGGGAAUAGAACUAAAUAUAUAUGUGCAAUUGGUGCCACUAUAGCAACUGUAGAAAAAAGAUAAAACUAAGGCAUCAUGAUCAAAAGAAAUAGAAGAUUUAAAAAAUAAAUAAAUAAAACUUAAGAGUACUGCAUAAAGACCAUUAUAGAAACAAGGAUACUUAAAAAUCAUCAUCAUUAGAUUAUAUAUCCACAAAAUAGACAAGUUAAUGGAGAUAAUCAUUGAAGAAAAAUAAAUGUGAUAUAAGUGAUGCCCAUUUAUCCCCUUAUUAAAUUUCUACUCCAACAACAAAGUACAUGAAAAUAAAUUGGUUGAAUUUUCAAAGUAAAAUAUCUUGAUAAGAUAAAAAUGAUAUAAUGUUCAAAAUAAAAUGCCUUAAGAAGAAAAUACUUGAAAGUUACAAUGUUUUUAACACAAAUAAAACUGUAAAGUGAAAUGAUACAAAUGGGAUCAUUUUUUACAUGGAAAUACGCUUACUAUAUAAAAAAGGAAAGUACAAUGCUAUAGUUGAUAGAUUUUUCAAAGAAAAAAUGCCUUAAUAAUGAAAAAUCCGAUAGAUUUUUAAAAUUAAAAUGCCAAUGUAUCACUUUGAAAGCAGUGGAGUAAUAGAAUAGUUAUUUCUAUGAUUUUCUGAAUCAAAUUAUCAUGUAGUUCCCCAUCUACUACUCUUAAGAACUCUAUAAGGUCAAGUCAUUUAACAGAUAAACAAGUAAAAUGUAUAAAACCUUAUAGAGAGACCCGAAAAAGAAGGGAAAACAAAGUGAACUUAAGAUUCACAAUCAAAAGGUUAAUCAUAAUCUUUAAUUCCAAGAACUGAAUCAUUACACUGCAAUAAAAGAGAGAAAGAAAGAACUGAAUCAUUACACAUUGAGAAAACAUCUCACCAAAAUGGAAGAGAACUCUCAUGCUUAUGCUCCCCAACUAUCUAUCAACUGGAAACCCAAAAAAGGAAACACGUUGAAGAAAAAUAAAUGUUAUAUAAGUGAUACCCCUAUCCCUUUAUCAAACCUUAUGAUACACAAAUAUCUGAAUUCUGAUAGUUAAAAUGAAACUAUACAAAAAAUGAAAUUGCAUGACCACAAAAAGCUAGAAGAAGAAAACCCCCAAAAAAACUCACUACGUUUCAUUCUGUAUCUUCUUUAUUCUAAAUGAUUGACCAAGAAACUCAAACAAUGAACUUAAAAAGAAUAGAGAGUAGCAUCAAUCAACUAUCAAAUAUAUUACAAAUAAAUAAAACCAAAAACUUAAAAGAUUAUCUAUGUAUAAAAUGAAGAACGUGAUGAAAAACAAGAAACUCAAUGACCUUAAUUUUCAAGUAGGAAAGAAUUAUAUAAGGAACCUCUGCCAAUUAAAAAUCAAAACCCUUCAAAAAAGACAAGAUGUGAUAUUAAGAUUCAUAACAAAAUUAAAGAGCUAAUAAAGGAAAAAAGUUCAUUCUUUAGGAUUUGCUUCUACAACAACUUAAACAACCUCCAUGUUCACCAAAAGACUGUUAUCAACAAUAAACAAAAUCCAAAUAAAUUUAAAAAAUACAGACAUGGUAAAGUGGCUGAAUGGGUGAAAUGGUUUGUAUGGAGAAAAAUACUGUAUAGAUAAAGCAUGUUUUUUUGUUACGUAUUAGGAGUGACAAUUGAUUAAACCAAUGACAUUUUACAAAGUUCAAAGUUGAGGAGAUCAAAGUCAAAUUUAAAAAAAUAGAGAUAAAAAAUACAUUUUACAAAGUAGAGUUAUUAAAAUUCAUAAUGGAAAAAUUCAUUAGAUAAAGAAAAAGACCCCAAGCAUCUCUAGAGGAUGGAAGACAAGUAGGUGAAUACUAAUCUUGCAACAGAAAGAAAACAAAGAAGUGUGAAGCUAUAAAUGGGUUGACUUUUCAAAGGGAAAUUAAUAUGCUUAUAAUAAGAAAAAAUUAAAGUACAAUGCUAUAGAUAGUAUUUUUUUUUUCAAAAAAAAAAUGUCUUGAUGAGGUAAAAACUUGAUAGAUUUCUAUUAUAAGUAAAAUGCAUUGCUAUAUUUUGGUUUGAAAUGCCAAUCAAUGUAAACUAAUACACACAACACAACAAAAUAUAUACCUGCAUAAAUAAUUGAAGUGUUUUGCUGUUUCUCAGCAUACCCACUAUAAUUGACAAGAUUUAAGAACACACAACAAAAUAAGAGGUAAGAAUAUUCAAAAUUAAAA